rnacentral:rRNA from 1 species
GAUGAACGCUAGCAGCAGGCCUAACACAUGCAAAGUCGAACGGUAACAGGGAUAGCAAUAUCUGCUGACGAAUGGCGGAUGGGUGAGUAACACGUUUGCAACUUACCUUUGACUGGGGGAUAGCCUGAAGAAAUUUGGAUUAAUACCCCAUAAUAUUUAUAGAAGGCAUCUUUUAUAAAUUAAAGCUCCGGCGGUCAAAGAUAGGCAUGCGUACCAUUAGCUUGUUGGUGAGGUAAAAGCUCACCAAGGGCAACGAUAGUUAGGGGGGUCUAAGAGGAUAAUCCCCCCACACUGGUACUGAAACACGGACCAGACUCCUACGGGAGGCAGCAGUGAGGAAUAUUGGACAAUGGACGAAAAUCUGACCCAGCCAUGCCGCGUGCAGGAUGAAUACCCUAUGGGUUGUAAACUGCUUUUGUACAAAAAGAACCCCGGACGUGUCGGGUUGUACAAUAUGUACGAAUAAGAUCGCUAACCUACCGUCGCCAGCAGCCGCGGUAAGAGUC